rnacentral:lncRNA from 1 species
CUUUCUCUUCCUUCUCCUUCUUCCCUCCCCCCCCCGCCCCUUCUUCCCCUAACCCUUCCACCCCUCUGCUUCUUCUCCGGAGGACGCUAAGUCCGUGAGCGGUGGCAGUCGCGACCGCGGGUGCAUCCAGUUUCUGCGCCCAGAUUUUAUUGAUCUAAUCCAAAGUAUCUUAUAACUUCUGGCUGGAAUUAAGAGAAAGAACAGUUAAGAGACUUUGCAGUAUUGGAGCUCUGUCAGCUGGGCCCCUAUGCCUCUCAAAGAUAACAUCAAAAGUGCAUUCAUGAUCCAUCUGAACUGGUAAAUCAGGAGAUUGGGAUUUUGCGAUCAAUAACACAUUACAUGGUCCAUUCUAUAGCAUGUUU